rnacentral:rRNA from 1 species
GAUGAACGCUGGCGGCGUGCCUAAUACAUGCAAGUCGAGCGAACGGACGAGAAGCUUGCUUCUCUGAUGUUAGCGGCGGACGGGUGAGUAACACGUGGAUAACCUACCUAUAAGACUGGGAUAACUUCGGGAAACCGGAGCUAAUACCGGAUAAUAUUUUGAACCGCAUGGUUCAAAAGUAAAAGACGGUCUUGCUGUCACUUAUAGAUGGAUCCGCGCUGCAUUAGCUAGAUGGUAAGGUAACGGCUUACCAAGGCAACGAUGCAUAGCCGACCUGAGAGGGUGAUCGGCCACACUGGAACUGAGACACGGUCCAGACUCCUACGGGAGGCAGCAGUAGGGAAUCUUCCGCAAUGGGCGAAAGCCUGACGGAGCAACGCCGCGUGAGUGAUGAAGGUCUUCGGAUCGUAAAACUCUGUUAUUAGGGAAGAACAUAUGUGUAAGUAACUGUGCACAUCUUGACGGUACCUAAUCAGAAAGCCACGGCUAACUACGUG